AAAUUGAAGAGUUUGAUCAUGGCUCAGAUUGAACGCUGGCGGCAGGCCUAACACAUGCAAGUCGAGCGGUAGCACAGAGAGCUUGCUCUCGGGUGACGAGUGGCGGACGGGUGAGUAAUGUCUGGGAAACUGCCUGAUGGAGGGGGAUAACUACUGGAAACGGUAGCUAAUACCGCAUAACGUCGCAAGACCAAAGUGGGGGACCUUCGGGCCUCAUGCCAUCAGAUGUGCCCAGAUGGGAUUAGCUAGUAGGUGGGGUAA
rnacentral:rRNA from 1 species